rnacentral:rRNA from 1 species
UGCAAGUCGUGCGAGAAAGUAUCUUCGGAUAUGAGUAGAGCGGCGGACGGGUGAGUACGCGUAGGAAUCUACCUAAUAGAAGGGGAUAGCCCGGGGAAACCCGGAUUAAUACCGUAUACCUCCUUCGGGAGAAAGAAGGCCUCUCUUUGAAGCUUUCGCUAUUAGAUGAGCCUGCGUAAGAUUAGCUUGUUGGUGAGGUAAAGGCUCACCAAGGCUACGAUCUUUAGCUGGUCUGAGAGGACGAUCAGCCACAUUGGGACUGAGACACGGCCCAGACUCCUACGGGAGGCAGCAGUGGGGAAUAUUGGACAAUGGGCGCAAGCCUGAUCCAGCCAUACCGCGUGUGUGAAGAAGGCCUUCGGGUUGUAAAGCACUUUAAGCAGGGAGAAAAAGUUAUAAGUUAAUAACCUUAUAACCCUGAUGUUACCUGCAGAAUAAGCACCGGCUAAUUCCGUGCCAGCAGACGCGGGUAAUUACGGAAUGUGCAAGCGUUUACUCGGAAUUCCUGGGCGUAAAGCGCGCGUAGGUGGUUGGUAAGUUGGAUGUGAAAGCCCUGGGCUCAAACUAAGAACUUGGAUCCAAAACUAACUCACUAGAGUCGACAGAGGAAGGAGAAUCAAGCGUAGCGCGGAAUGCGAGAAUUUCGAAGAAUACCGUGG